rnacentral:rRNA from 1 species
GACGAACGCUGGCGGCGUGCUUAACACAUGCAAGUCGAACGGAAAGGCCCUGCUUUUGUGGGGUGCUCGAGUGGCGAACGGGUGAGUAACACGUGAGUAACCUGCCCUUGACUUUGGGAUAACUUCAGGAAACUUGGGCUAAUACCGGAUAGGAGCUCCUGCUGCAUGGUGGGGGUUGGAAAGUUUCGGCGGUUGGGGAUGGACUCGCGGCUUAUCAGCUUGUUGGUGGGGUAGUGGACUACCAAGGCUUUGACGGGUAGCCGGCCUGGGAGGGUGACCGGACACAUUGGGACUGAAAUACGGCCCAGCCUCCUCCGGGAGGCAGCAGUGGGGAAUAUUGCACAAUGGGCGGAAGCCUGAUGCAGCACAGCCGCGUGCGGGAUGACGGCCUUCGGGUUGUAAACCGCUUUCGCCUGUGACGAAGCGUGAGUGACGGUAAUGGGUAAAGAAGCACCGGCUAACUACGUG